UGGGGAAUUUUGGACAAUGGGCGAAAGCCUGAUCCAGCCAUGCCGCGUGAGUGAAGAAGGCCUUCGGGUUGUAAAGCUCUUUUAGUCGGAAAGAAAAGAUCAUAAUGAACAAUUAUGAUUCAUGACGGUACCGACAGAAAAAGCACCGGCUAACUACGUGCCAGCAGCCGCGGUAAUACGUAGGGUGCGAGCGUUAAUCGGACUUACUGGGCGUAAAGGGUGCGCAGGCGGUUUUGUAAGUCAGAUGUGAAAUCCCCGGGCUUAACCUGGGAAUUGCGUUUGAAACUGCAAGACUAGAGUGCAGCAGAGGGGAGUGGAAUUCCAUGUGUAGCAGUGAAAUGCGUAGAGAUGUGGAAGAACACCGAUGGCGAAGGCAGCUCCCUGGGUUGACACUGACGCUCAUGCACGAAAGCGUGGGGAGCAAACA
rnacentral:rRNA from 1 species